GCCAAAGCGUUUUAAGCCGUCUCUGGAUCAAACCAUCGGUUUCCACUAAGUUGAAGUGUCCUUUUCAUUUUGGAUGUGGAUUGAGGUAUCCUGCCUUUUUAAGGAGCUAAACAAGGUGGUGUGCAGUGUCCUUUUCAUUUUGGACGUGGAGUGAGGUGUCCUGUCUUUUGGGAGCUAAACAAGGUCAUGUACGCAAGGGCUGUUUGGAAGGAGGGUGAACAAGAGGAGGAGGGUGUAGUUCCUGACAAUUGGAUCGACAGGAACAAGAGAACCCUUAGAUGGCCACAUAAUAUGAGCACCACAAAAACGGAAAGAGCUCUAAGGGACAAAAUUAACCCCCAGGAUGACUGGAUGACGUUCCCAUUAAUCAAAAUAAAAAUGA